rnacentral:rRNA from 1 species
UACAGAGGUCUCAAGCGUUGUUCGGAUUCAUUGGGCGUAAAGGGUGCGUAGGUGGCGCCGUAAGUCGGGUGUGAAAUUUCGGAGCUUAACUCCGAAACUGCAUUCGAUACUGCGGUGCUUGAGGACUGGAGAGGAGACUGGAAUUCAUGGUGUAGCAGUGAAAUGCGUAGAGAUCAUGAGGAAGACCAGUGGCGAAGGCGGGUCCCUGGACAGUUCCUGACACUGAGGCACGAAGGCCAGGGGAGCAAACGGG